UACAGAGGGUGCAAGCGUUAAUCGGAAUAACUGGGCGUAAAGCGCGCGUAGGUGGUUUGUUAAGUUGGAUGUGAAAGCCCCGGGCCCAACCUGGGAACUGCAUCCAAAACUGGUAAGCUAGAGUACGGUAGAGGGUGGUGGAAUUUCCUGUGUAGCGGUGAAAUGCGUAGAUAUAGGAAGGAACACCAGUGGCGAGGCGACCACCUGGACUGAUACUGACACUGAGGCGCGAAAGCGUAGGUAGCGAACAGG
rnacentral:misc_RNA from 1 species